AGUGAACGCUGGCGGUAGGCCUAACACAUGCAAGUCGAACGGCAGCACAGUAAGAGCUUGCUCUUACGGGUGGCGAGUGGCGGACGGGUGAGGAAUACAUCGGAAUCUACUUUUUCGUGGGGGAUAACGUAGGGAAACUUACGCUAAUACCGCAUACGACCUACGGGUGAAAGCAGGGGAUCUUCGGACCUUGCGCGAUUGAAUGAGCCGAUGUCGGAUUAGCUAGUUGGCGGGGUAAAGGCCCACCAAGGCGACGAUCCGUAGCUGGUCUGAGAGGAUGAUCAGCCACACUGGAACUGAGACACGGUCCAGACUCCUACGGGAGGCAGCAGUGGGGAAUAUUGGACAAUGGGCGCAAGCCUGAUCCAGCCAUACCGCGUGGGUGAAGAAGGCCUUCGGGUUGUAAAGCCCUUUUGUUGGGAAAGAAGAGCAGCAGGUUAAUACCCCGCGGUUCUGACGGUACCCAAAGAGUAAGCACCGGCUAACUUCGUG
rnacentral:rRNA from 1 species